rnacentral:rRNA from 1 species
GGGUCAGUGGGUUGGUCGUGCCACCGGUACGUACUGGUCUCACUGAUUCCUCCUUCCUGAAGAACCGUAAUGCCAUUAAUUUGGUGUUGCGGGGAAACAGGACUGUUACUUUGAUAAAAUUAGAGUGUUUAAAGCAAGCUAACGCUUGAAUACAUUAGCAUGGAAUAAUGAAAUAGGACGAUCGAUCCUAUUUUGUUGGUUUCUAGGAUUGACGUA